AGUGAUUGAAAAUCAGGUGAUUUCUGGAGAAGCUGGACGGGCGUGCAACGACGGCUGCUUGUGGCGUGAUUAGUGAAUGCGCAACACUACCGAUUCAUUCACUCCACUGUUUUCAGAAACAGAAAUCCAUAUACAUGCAGACGUAAAUUUCCAUUUGUGUGUGUGCCAACCGAAUACAUACCUAAAAAUCAGGCGAUUCCUCGACAGCUGUUUUUCUGAGUCAAAAGCAACUUGCACGGGUUCUUUUGACUGGUGAUGGGAGCGCUAAAAGUCGAUGAGCAGUUUUUGGGCAGUCGGUCCUUA